rnacentral:tRNA from 1 species
GCCGGAAUAGCUCAGCUGGUAGAGCAACUGAUUCGUAAUCAGUAGGUCGCAGGUUCGACUCCUGCUUCCGGCAGCA